GAGUAGCCACUGUGGUUCUGGUUUCAAUCCAUACCAAGAUUUUCUAUGUGUACAAAUAAUCUAGAAAAUCUUGUGUGGAUUGAUACCAGGGUCAGAUUAUAUACUC